UGUCAUCUCUUCAGUUAGACUGGUGG
rnacentral:piRNA from 1 species